GCCCUUGUAGCUCAGCUGGAUAGAGCAGUCGACUUCUAAUCGACCGGUCGCAGGUUCGAAUCCUGCCGAGGGCG
rnacentral:tRNA from 1 species